rnacentral:rRNA from 1 species
GACGAACGCUGGCGGCGUGCUUAACACAUGCAAGUCGAGCGGAAAGGCCUGCUUUCCCUUGUGGAUUGCGGGUACUCGAGUGGCGAACGGGUGAGUAACACGUGAGUGAUCUGCCCCCAACUUGGGUAUAAGCCUGGGAAACUGGGUCUAAUUCCCGAUAGGACUGCAGGGUGGUGCCUGUGGUGGAAAACGAUUUUCUAGUGGUUGGGGAUGAGCUCGCGGCCUAUCAGCUUGUUGGUGGGGUAAUGGCCUACCAAGGCGGCGACGGGUAGCCGGCCUGGGAGGGUGGACGGCCACAUUGGGACUGGGAUACGGCCCAGACUCCUACGGGAGGCAGCAGUGGGGAAUAUUGCACAAUGGGCGGAAGCCUGAUGCAGCGACGCCGCGUGGGGGAUGACGGCCUUCGGGUUGUAAACUCCUUUCGACCGCGAGGAAGCCACCUGGUUGGAAGGGUGGUGACGGUAGUGGUAGAAGAAGCACCGGCUAACUACGU